rnacentral:rRNA from 1 species
AUACGGAGGGUGCGAGCGUUAAUCGGAAUUACUGGGCGUAAAGCGCGCGUAGGCGGUUAGAUAAGUCUGAUGUGAAAGCCCUGGGCUCAACCUGGGAAUGGCAUUGGAUACUGUUUAACUAGAGUGCAGGAGAGGAGAGUGGAAUUCUCGGUGUAGCGGUGAAAUGCGUAGAUAUCGGGAGGAACACCAGUGGCGAAGGCGGCUCUCUGGACUGACACUGACGCUGAGGUGCGAAAGCGCGGGUAGCGAACAGGAUUAGAAACCCUAGUAGUCC